rnacentral:rRNA from 1 species
AGAGGGUGGGAGCGUUGUCCGGAAUCACUGGGCGUAAAGGGCGCGUAGGCGGCCGAGUAAGCGUGCGGUGAAAGCCCGGGGCUCAACCCCGGGUCGGCCGUGCGAACUGCUGGGCUUGAGCACUGUAGAGGCAGGUGGAAUUCCGGGGGUAGCGGUGGAAUGCGUAGAGAUCCGGAAGAACCCCCGUGGCGAAGGCGGCUCUCUGGGACGGUACUGACGCUGAGACGCGAAAGCGUGGGGAGCGAACAGG